AGUAAAUAGAUACCCUGGUAGUCCACGCCGUAAACGAUGUCGACUUGGAGGUUGUGCCCUUGAGGCGUGGCUUCCGGAGCUAAACGCGUUAAGUCGACCGCCUGGGGAGUACGGCCGCAAGGUUAAAACUCAAAUGAAUUGACGGGGGGCCCGCACAAGCGGUGGAGCAUGUGGUUUAAUUCGAUGCAACGCGAAGAACCUUACCUACUCUUGACAUCCAGAGAACUUUCCAGAGAUGGAUUGGUGCCUUCGGGAACUCUGAGACAGGUGCUGCAUGGCUGUCGUCAGCUCGUGUUGUGAAAUGUUGGGUUAAGUCCCGCAACGAGCGCAACCCUUAUCCUUUGUUGCCAGCGGUUAGGCCGGGAACUCAAAGGAGACUGCCAGUGAUAAACUGGAGGAAGGUGGGGAUGACGUCAAGUCAUCAUGGCCCUUACGAGUAGGGCUACACACGUGCUACAAUGGCGCAUACAAAGAGAAGCGACCUCGCGAGAGCAAGCGGACCUCAUAAAGUGCGUCGUAGUCCGGAUUGGAGUCU
rnacentral:rRNA from 1 species